rnacentral:rRNA from 1 species
CGCGGGAUUUGCCUNACUGAGNNUACCUUGUUACGACUUCACCCCAAUCACCGACCUCACCCUCGACACCUGCAUCCCUCAAAGGGGUUAGCUCAGUGGCUUCAGGUGUUGCCGACUUUCGUGGUGUGACGGGCGGUGUGUACAAGACCCGGGAACGUAUUCACCGNAGUGUGCUGACCUACGGNUACUAGNAANUCCAG